GCCCUUGGAGGCGUGGCUUCCGGAGCUAACGCGUUAAGUCGACCGCCUGGGGAGUACGGCCGCAAGGUUAAAACUCAAAUGAAUUGACGGGGGCCCGCACAAGCGGUGGAGCAUGUGGUUUAAUUCGAUGCAACGCGAAGAACCUUACCUGGUCUUGACAUCCACAGAACUUGGCAGAGAUGCAUUGGUGCCUUCGGGAACUGUGAGACAGGUGCUGCAUGGCUGUCGUCAGCUCGUGUUGUGAAAUGUUGGGUUAAGUCCCGCAACGAGCGCAACCCUUAUCCUUUGUUGCCAGCGGUUAGGCCGGGAACUCAAAGGAGACUGCCAGUGAUAAACUGGAGGAAGGUGGGGAUGACGUCAAGUCAUCAUGGCCCUUACGACCAGGGCUACACACGUGCUACAAUGGCGCAUACAAAGAGAAGCAAUCUCGCGAGAGCUAGCGGACCUCAUAAAGUGCGUCGUAGUCCGGAUUGGAGUCUGCAACUCGACUCCAUGAAGUCGGAAUCGCUAGUAAUCGUGAAUCAGAAUGUCACGGUGAAUACGUUCCCGGGCCUUGUACACACCGCCCGUCACACCAUGGGAGUGGGUUGCAAAAGAAGUAGGUAGCUUAACCUUCGGGAGGGCGCUUACCACUUUGUGAUUCAUGACUGGGGUGAAGUCGUAAC
rnacentral:rRNA from 1 species